CACGCUGUUUGGAGCAGUCUCGCUUUCUCUGCUCUGGGCUGGUCUCCUGGCCUUGCCAUAGAGUUGGUGCCCAAUAUGCUCUCUUGCAUGUUAAGAAAGGCUCUGCUUGUCCUCUGGGACGGUCCUCUGAAAGCUGACUGGGUGGCCACUUAAGUAUGGUGCUUAUGCGAAGAACAAUCCUUCAACCAAGUGCCUCAGUAUGAGGACGCGGAAGACCAGAGGGGAAGGAGGCUUGCCUGGUCAAUCUGGAAGUCAGGGACAGAGCUGCUGCCCAGAUGGCCCCUCUGCUGAUGAAAUGGUCUCCAGCAGGACACUUGCUUGGCGAGGAUGAGAGGCGAUCACGGAGGCCAGGACCACCCCUCUGAGCUGCCUGCCCACGAUGCCCACCCCCGUGGGAGGUGCAGACCUGCUCCUUUGGUGGCCUCCAGAACCUCUCCUGCAACGUGGAACUUGGGCCCCCAAGCAAGAAUGGCUUCCUUCUCCGCUGGCUCCAGAGGCACGAAGGAGAAGCCCUUCCUCCCCCUCGUAGAGCUGAAGCCCAUCUGCACGUCCAAAGGGUGUUCCUUCCUGGACUUGAUUACUAACCGUCUGCCUCCCUGGCCAGACGAGCCUCUCGGUGACCUUGGGCUCCUUCCAAAAUCAAAUUUUCUUUCAAAGGAAGCAGGGGGUUCGUCACCACUGAAGAAAUUCAGAGAAUGACAGCUGGAGAGAAGAGUCUGAGGGGAAGGGGAGAAAACACCCACUUACCGCGAGCUAGCCGUGUUAACUCAUUUAAUCCCAUCAGCCACAAAUUAAGUUUUAUGAUGUGUUGUUUUCAGAUGAAGAGCUGGUGUGGAUGUGAGUUAUUUUCUCCACACUCACACAGCUCGUGAUGGUGGAAGUGGAAUUUGGGAGGCAGCUCUGCUCACUACUAUACCACCAACACUGGAACUGUGGUCUGAUCUAGUCUCUGCCUCUGUCACUUACCCUCAUGCUGCUUGGACACGCCGCAGCAGGGUGGAGUACAGCAAAGGGUCAAAAAGCCUGGAUUCUGCCUCUGGCUUUGCAACUGAAAGGUCAUGUGAAAGCUAAUA